rnacentral:rRNA from 1 species
GACGAACGCUGGCGGCGUGCCUAAUACAUGCAAGUAGGACGCAGUUGCGAACGGGUGAGUAACGCGUAGGUCACUGCCUAUUAGAGGUGGAUAACUAUUGGAACCGAUAGCUAAUACCGCAUACUAGUAGAUGGACCUGCGUUGUAUUAGCUAGUAGGGAGGGUAAUGGACUACCUAGGCGACGAUACAUAGCCGGCCUGAGAGGGUGAUCGGCCACACUGGGACUGAGAAACGGCCCAGACGCCUACGGGAGGAAGCAGUAGGGAAUCUUCGGCAAUGGGGGGAACCCUGACGAAGCAACGCCGCGUGAGUGAAGAAGGUUUUCGGAUCGUAAAGCUCUGUUGUUAAGGAAGCGGUACUUAACCAGAAAGGGACGGCUAACUACGUGCCAGCAGCCGCGGUAAUAC